rnacentral:rRNA from 1 species
AUACGGAAGGUCCGGGCGUUAUCCGGAUUUAUUGGGUUUAAAGGGAGCGCAGGCGGAGAUGCAAGCGUGACGUCAAAUUUCGGGGCUCAACCCCGUCUCGCGUCGCGAACUGCGUCCCUUGGUUGCGGGAAGGGGAGGCGGAACUCGUGGUGUAGCGGUGAAAUGCAUAGAUAUCACGAAGAACUCCGAUCGCGAAGGCAGCCUUCCGGCCCGUCAACGACGCUCAUGCUCGAAGGUGCGGGUAUUAAACAGGAUUAGAUACCCUGGUAGUCCGCACAGUAAACGAUGGACACCCGCGGUUUGGCCUAUAUGGCUGAGCCGCCAAGCGAAAGCGUUAAGUGUCCCACCUGGGGAGUACGCCGGCAACGGUGAAACUCAAAUGAAUUGACGGGG